UGGCUAGGUGAGACUGUCUCUCAGAAAAGGGUUGCGGGGGAGCGGGGAGGGGAAACUGCUAAGCUUGUGUGGGUCUGCCUUGCUAUAGAACAUAGACUUUCAAGUCCAGAGUGAAAGCUGAGACAGGGGAGGAGAGUAAGACAAUGGGAGGGAACUGAAGAGAGUCUCUACGUACAGAGGCAUUUGAGGGCAGAAUUCAUUUCUCGGUUCCUGAGCGAAGGCUUGCCCACUGCCCCACCUGCAUGUUCAUCAAAAACUUCAUUUUCACAUCCCUUGUGGUACCCACUGUUCUGUCUCUACAUUUGACUACUUUGGAGUACAGAAUAAGUACCGUACUUAUUUCUGUGGCUGGCAUAUUUUACUUAGCAACACCUUCAAGAUCCCAUUAUAGCAUCGAUCAAAUCUACCUCUUUUCGUUUGAGGCAGAUUUAAUAUAUAGUCUUCUGUUUCUUUAUUAUUUUAUGUGCAUUGGUGUUUGCCUAUAUGGAUGCCUGUAUGAGUGUGUCGGGCCCCCUGGAACUGGAGUUACAGAAAUACUGGUAUUAAAAAUAUGCACUACCA
rnacentral:lncRNA from 1 species